rnacentral:rRNA from 1 species
UGACCGCUGGCGGCGUGCCUAAUACAUGCACGUCGAGCGAACAGAUGAGGAGCUUGCUCCUCUGACGUUAGCGGCGGACGGGUGAGUAACACGUGGAUAACCUACCUAUAAGACUGGGAUAACUUCGGGAAACCGGAGCUAAUACCGGAUAAUAUAUUGAACCGCAUGGUUCAAUAGUGAAAGACGGUUUUGCUGUCACUUAUAGAUGGAUCCGCGCCGCAUUAGCUAGUUGGUAAGGUAACGGCUUACCAAGGCAACGAUGCGUAGCCGACCUGAGAGGGUGAUCGGCCACACUGGAACUGAGACACGGUCCAGACUCCUACGGGAGGCAGCAGUAGGGAAUCUUCCGCAAUGGGCGAAAGCCUGACGGAGCAACGCCGCGUGAGUGAUGAAGGUCUUCGGAUCGUAAAACUCUGUUAUUAGGGAAGAACAAAUGUGUAAGUAACUAUGCACGUCUUGACGGUACCUAAUCAGAAAGCCACGGCUAACUACGUG